rnacentral:rRNA from 1 species
AACGAACGCUGGCGGCGCGCCUAACACAUGCAAGUCGAACGAGAAUCCGGGGCAACCCGGUAGUAAAGUGGCAAACGGGUGAGGAAUACAUGGGUAACCUACCCUUGAGAAGGGAAUAACCCGCCGAAAGGUGAGCUAAUACCCUAUACGCUAUCUUUUUUUCGAAAAGGAUAGGAAAGCCGGGUCGAGGACCUGGUACUCAAGGAGGGGCUCAUGUCCUAUCAGCUUGUUGGUGGGGUAACGGCCUACCAAGGCUACGACGGGUAGCUGGUCUGAGAGGAUGAUCAGCCACACUGGCACUGAGAUACGGGCCAGACUCCUACGGGAGGCAGCAGUGAGGAAUAUUGCGCAAUGGGCGAAAGCCUGACGCAGCGACGCCGCGU